GAAAAAUGCAUUUUUAAUCGUUUAACUCGUUCACUGCGGGUAUUUAAGUGCUUCAGGUGAGGUAGAAAUAGACAUAUUUUAAUGAGAAGUUGCAUUGACUGGACGUUGGUGGGGAUGAAGGACAUGUGAGACAGGAAUGGCAAGAUUCUAAGGAUCCUAGCCUGCAACAUACUAGGUGCUUUUGAAAAUGUAGGUGCAAUUUCAUAGGUCUGAAGGAGGUGUAGGAUGCAUGACACCCAAAGUAAGAUACACAGUGGUGUCAUCGUGGUGGCUCAACCCAGCAAAGAGCCAAGAGUGUUCCAGUGUUCAAAGGAGAAGACAGUGCCUCCAAAUUCCUGUUGCUUAGCACAUGAUCUUCCCUUCUGAAGAAAACCUUCUUUCUUCUCUCUGGAGGACAGAUAUCGAUGUUGCAGGUCACCUUCUGAAA
rnacentral:lncRNA from 1 species